UACGUAGGGUGCAAGCGUUGUCCGGAAUUACUGGGCGUAAAGGGCUCGUAGGCGGCCAACUAAGUCACACGUGAAAUCCCCAGGCUUAACCUGGGAACUGCGUGUGAUACUGGAUGGCUUGAAUCCGGGAGAGGGAUGCAGAAUUCCAGGUGUAGCGGUGAAAUGCGUAGAUAUCUGGAGGAAUACCGGUGGCGAAGGCGGCAUCCUGGACCGGCAUUGACGCUGAUGAGCGAAAGCUAGGGGAGCAAACGGG
rnacentral:rRNA from 1 species